AGGAACAUGUGGUUAAUCGAUGAUACGCGAGGACCUUACCUGGGCUUGACAUCCCGAUCGCACCUUAUGGAAACAUAGGGUCAGUUCGGCUGGAUCGGUGACAGGUGCUGCAUGGCUGUCGUCAGCUCGUGUCGUGAGAUGUUGGGUUAAGUCCCGCAACGAGCGCAACCCUUGUCCUUAGUUGCCAGCAUUCAGUUGGGCACUCUAAGGAGACUGCCGGUGUCAAACCGGAGGAAGGUGGGGAUGACGUCAAGUCCUCAUGGCCCUUAUGUCCAGGGCUACACACGUGCUACAAUGGCCGGUACAAAGGGGCGCAAGACCGCGAGGUGGAGCAAAUCCCAAAAAACCGGUCUCAGUUCGGAUUGGAGUCUGCAACUCGACUCCAUGAAGUUGGAAUCGCUAGUAAUCGCGUAUCAGCAUGACGCGGUGAAUACGUUCCCGGGCCUU
rnacentral:rRNA from 1 species